rnacentral:rRNA from 1 species
UACGGGGGGGGCAAGCGUUGUUCGGAAUUACUGGGCGUAAAGGGCUCGUAGGCGGCCAACUAAGUCAGACGUGAAAUCCCUCGGCUUAACCGGGGAACUGCGUCUGAUACUGGAUGGCUAGAGGUUGGGAGAGGGAUGCGGAAUUCCAGGUGUAGCGGUGAAAUGCGUAGAUAUCGAGAGGAACACCUGAGGUGAAGACGGGUUGCUGGGCCGACACUGACGCUGAGUGCGCGAAAGCCAGGGGAGCAAACGGG